AACGAACGCUGGCGGCAUGCCUAACACAUGCAAGUCGAACGAGACCUUCGGGUCUAGUGGCGCACGGGUGCGUAACGCGUGGGAACCUGCCCUUAGGUUCGGAAUAACUCCCCGAAAGGGGUGCUAAUACCGGAUAAUGUCUUCGGACCAAAGAUUUAUCGCCUUUGGAUGGGCCCGCGUUGGAUUAGCUAGUUGGUAGGGUAAAAGCCUACCAAGGCGACGAUCCAUAGCUGGUCUGAGAGGAUGAUCAGCCACACUGGGACUGAGACACGGCCCAGACUCCUACGGGAGGCAGCAGUGGGGAAUAUUGGACAAUGGGCGAAAGCCUGAUCCAGCAAUGCCGCGUGAGUGAUGAAGGCCGUAGGGUUGUAAAGCUCUUUUACCCGGGAUGAUAAUGACAGUACCGGGAGAAUAAGCUCCGGCUAACUACGUG
rnacentral:rRNA from 1 species